CCUACGGGCGGCAGCAGUGAGGAAUCUUGGUCAAUGGGCGUAAGCCUGAACCAGCCAAGUCGCGUGAGGGAUGAAGGUUCUAUGGAUCGUAAACCUCUUUUAUAAGGGAAUAAAGUGUGGGACGUAUCCUAUUUUGUCUGUACCUUAUGAAUAAGGAUCGGCUAACUCCGUGCCAGCAGCCGCGGUAAUACGGAGGAUCCGAGCGUUAUCCGGAUUUAUUGGGUUUAAAGUGUGCGCAGGCGGAGGUUCAAGGCAGCGGUCAAAUUGCGGGGCUCAACCCCGUACUGCCGUGGAAACUGCAUCCCUUGAGUGCGCGAGAAGUAUGUGGAAUGCGUGGUGUAGCGGUGAAAUGCAUAGAUAUAACGCAGAACUCCGAUGGCGAAGGCAGCAUACCGGCGCGCAACUGACGCUCAUGCACGAAAGCGUGGGUAUCGAACAGGAUUAGAUACCCCGGUAGUC
rnacentral:rRNA from 1 species